CUGCGGUAAUGAGGAGGAGCAAGACCGUAAUCGCACCGUGCAGGACUGCAAGGCAACACACUUCAGAAGCAUGAUACCAGUAGAACUAUGGAAGACAGUCUUGAUUCAAGAUCACAUCAUAUCAGUUAUGGGGCCUUGUUGUGAGUCUUUUUUGAGAGCAAAGAGAAAUAUUUGUCUGUUGCAUCUGGUAGAUGAUGAGGAAAAAAAGCAUCUGCUGAAAUGGAUCCAUGCAAAUAAGCAAUGUUUUUGGGAAAAAGAAAUGCAAGCGGGAGUGGCUCAAGAAGAGAAAUGGCAGAGCAGCACAGUGAAGGCUGUAGUUCUGUGAGUUAUCCCAUUGCCAAUCUCACCUCAUACCCAUGCACUGAGAUAAAGAGCUGUGAUCUAAGAAAAGGU